rnacentral:tRNA from 1 species
AAAAUAUUAGUUUAUAAAAAAAUAAUAAUUUGUCAAAUUAUAGAUAUAAAUAAUUAUAUAUUUUA